AGGGGUUCUAAUGAGUUCAUCGUAGUUACCCCUUCCUGAAAGUGUAAUUGAAGUUGACAGGUUCAACAGCUGUCAGGACUCUUACAUUUCUUCCUGACCUGUAUACCAAGGGACAUUAUUGUAAGCAGGACCAAGGGGAGGCUUCUGAAAUUCUACUUUCCUGGCAAUAAAAUGAAUAAAACAUAAUAACUGCAUUCUCCAGGAAACAGAAUUGGUCGCUGCCACAACAAAAAACUCAAAAGUUCCAGGGGGCGGUCGUCCAUUUUAUAUCUUUAUUCAGUUAACCUAACUGGCCUCUGUCAAAACCAGAUGGAUUAUAGGAUGAAUGCACAUUAGCAUAAACUUAAGUCACACUUGCACAUUCGCUCUAGGAUGUGGUAUCUUCACUGAGCAGAAUGUGGUUUCCAGCACUUUGUAUGCGGCUUUUGAUUU
rnacentral:lncRNA from 10 species